UCCCUGGUAGCUCAGUGGUGGUAAAGAAUCUGCCUGCAACGCAGAGGACCCAGGUUCAGUUCCUGGGUGGGAAA
rnacentral:tRNA from 1 species